rnacentral:rRNA from 1 species
GAAGCGUUUUCGGUGGCAGCCUGGGUACAAUCCUUUGGAGUAGGGUAUCAUAGAGGGUGAGAGUCCCGUCUUUGACUCAGUGCAUGCUACUAUGUGAUACGUUUUCAAAGAGUCGAGUUGUUUGGGAACGCAGCUCAAAAUGGGUGGUAAAUUUCAUCUAAGGCUAAAUAUUGGCGAGAGACCGAUAGCGAACAAGUACCGUGAGGGAAAGAUGAAAAGAACUUUGAAAAGAGAGUUAAACAGUGCGUGAAAUUGUUGAAAGGGAAACGUUUGACACCAGUUAUGCGGGUGGAAAAUCAGUCUUUUGCAAUGGGGAGUUGUGGGCGUUCAGACCGCAAGGCUGGCGUUUGCUUCAUCUUUGUUGUAAGUGAUGCACUUUUUCAUUUGCAGGUCAACAUCAGUUUGCUUUGCUGGACAAAACCCCAAGGGAAGGUGGCAGCUUAGGCUGUGUUAUAGCCCUGGGGCGAUACAGUGGAGUGGACUGAGGUUUCGCAGUGUGUGCUCUCGGGCAAGGCUGACUGGGUGCUAUGGGAUCGUUCGGCGUACAAUGCAUGCAUUUUGCGUCGUGUCUUUUUCAUACUCGCUCAACUCGGCUCUUCCACGCUUAGGAUGUUGACUUAAUGGUUUUAAACGACCCGUCUUGAAACACGGACCAAGGAGUCUAACAUAUAUGCAAGUGUUUGGGUGGCAAACCCAUGCGCGUAAUGAAAGUGAACGUAGGUGCGAUCCGCAAGGUGCAGCAUCGACCGAUCUUGAUAUUUUUGGAUAGAUUUGAGUAAGAGCAUAUAUGCUGGGACCCGAAAGAUGGUGAACUAUGCCUGAAUAGGGUGAAGCCAGAGGAAACUCUGGUGGAGGCUCGUAGCGAUUCUGACGUGCAAAUCGAUCGUCAAAUUUGGGUAUAGGGCGA